rnacentral:rRNA from 1 species
UACGGAGGGUGCAAGCGUUAAUCGGAAUUACUGGGCGUAAAGCGCGCGUAGGCGGUUUGAUAAGUCGAUUGUGAAAUCCCCCGGGCUCAACCUGGGAAUUGCAGUCGAGACUGUCAGACUAGAGUGUGGGAGAGGGUGGUGGAAUUCCCGGUGUAGCGGUGAAAUGCGUAGAUAUCGGGAGGAACAUCAGUGGCGAAGGCGACCGGCCUGGCCCAACACUGACGGCUGAGGUGCGAAAGCGUGGGUAGCAAACAGG